AGUGAACGCUGGCGGUAGGCCUAACACAUGCAAGUCGAACGGCAGCACAGUAAGAGCUUGCUCUUACGGGUGGCGAGUGGCGGACGGGUGAGGAAUACAUCGUAAUCUACUUUUUCUUGGGGGAUAACGUAGGGAAACUUACGCUAAUACCGCAUACGACCUACGGGUGAAAUCAUUGGAUCUUCGGACCUUGCGCGAUUGUAUGAGCCGAUGUCGGAUUAGCUAGUUGGCGGGGUAAAGGCCCACCAAGGCGACGAUCCGUAGCUGGUCUGAGAGGAUGAUCAGCCACACUGGAACUGAGAAACGGUCAAGAGACCUACGGGAGGCAGCAGUGGGGAAUAUUGGACAAUGGGCGCAAGCCUGAUCCAGCAAUACCGCGUGGGUGAAGAAGGACUUCGGGUUGUAAAGCACUUUUGUUGGGAAAGAAAAGCAGCAGGUUAAUACCCCGAUGUUCUGACGGUACCAAAAGAAUAAGCACCGGCUAACUUCGUG
rnacentral:rRNA from 1 species